rnacentral:ribozyme from 13 species
UGUCAGGGAGAAAAAAAAAAAAAAAAAAAAAAAAAAAA